GAUGAACGCUGGCGGCGUGCCUAAUACAUGCAAGUCGAGCGAACAGACGAGGAGCUUGCUCCUCUGACGUUAGCGGCGGACGGGUGAGUAACACGUGGAUAACCUACCUAUAAGACUGGGAUAACUUCGGGAAACCGGAGCUAAUACCGGAUACUAUAUUGAACCGCAUGGUUCAAUAGUGAAAGACGGUUUUGCUGUCACUUAUAGAUGGAUCCGCGCCGCAUUAGCUAGUUGGUAAGGUAACGGCUUACCAAGGCAACGAUGCGUAGCCGACCUGAGAGGGUGAUCGGCCACACUGGAACUGAGACACGGUCCAGACUCCUACGGGAGGCAGCAGUAGGGAAUCUUCCGCAAUGGGCGAAAGCCUGACGGAGCAACGCCGCGUGAGUGAUGAAGGUCUUCGGAUCGUAAAACUCUGUUAUUAGGGAAGAACAAAUGUGUAAGUAACUAUGCACAUAUUGACGGUACCUAAUCAGAAAGCCACGGCUAACUACGUG
rnacentral:rRNA from 1 species